GAAAUCCUAUCUGUGUUAGGUCACAUGGGCUGAGGUGAAUUAGGGCUGUAGGCGGAGUUCAAGCUUCUGACCUAGUGACCUUGAUUUGGAUCAAGUAUCCUGAAUGAUCCAGACCGGCCCGACACCAUCAGUAGGGUCUUUUUAGAAGAAAGAAGGGAGCAGAAGAGAGACGGGAAGUGUGGGUGCGGUGUUGCUGUUUGAAGACGAUAGGGUCACCUGGAUGAGAGUUCCCAGAACGCGCACGCGCACACAGCUUUGCUGACGCCACGGCUCUAACUUAGUGAGACUCACUUCUGCUCAUUUGACUAGGUCUACUGUAUGUUAUUUGUUGAUGGUUGGCCUCGAAUACCCAAGCUCACUACCUCAGUCUCCCAUGCGCAGAGAUUUCAAGCACAGCUUCAGGACCAUCUGUUUUCUGGUCUUUUCCUGAUAUCGUGUUUCAGCUUUGUGACUACCUCAAGGGUGGCAGAGGUUGGGGUCAUACGGG
rnacentral:lncRNA from 1 species